rnacentral:sRNA from 1 species
UCGCGUAAGGGAUUGCGGCGGCAUCCUUUAUUUUUUUUUUUUUAAAAAUAAAGAUAGAGCCAAAAGCCCGACCCCAA